rnacentral:rRNA from 1 species
UCUGUUGUUAAAGAAGAACACGUAUGAGAGUAACUGUUCAUACGUUGACGGUAUUUAACCAGAAAGUCACGGCUAACUACGUGCCAGCAGCCGCGGUAAUACGUAGGUGGCAAGCGUUAUCCGGAUUUAUUGGGCGUAAAGAGAGUGCAGGCGGUUUUCUAAGUCUGAUGUGAAAGCCUUCGGCUUAACCGGAGAAGUGCAUCGGAAACUGGAUAACUUGAGUGCAGAAGAGGGUAGUGGAACUCCAUGUGUAGCGGUGGAAUGCGUAGAUAUAUGGAAGAACACCAGUGGCGAAGGCGGCUACCUGGUCUGCAACUGACGCUGAGACUCGAAAGCAUGGGUAGCGAACAGGAUUAGAUACCCUGGUAGUCCAUGCCGUAAACGAUGAGUGCUAGGUGUUGGAGGGUUUCCGCCCUUCAGUGCCGGAGCUAACGCAUUAAGCACUCCGCCUGGGGAGUACGACCGCAAGGUUGAAACUCAAAGGAAUUGACGGGGGCCCGCACAAGCGGUGGAGCAUGUGGUUUAAUUCGAAGCUACGCGAAGAACCUUACCAGGUCUUGACAUCUUGCGCCAACCCUAGAGAUAGGGCGUUUCCUUCGGGAACGCAAUGACAGGUGGUGCAUGGUCGUCGUCAGCUCGUGUCGUGAGAUGUUGGGUUAAGUCCCGCAACGAGCGCAACCCUUGUUACUAGUUGCCAGCAUUAAGUUGGGCACUCUAGUGAGACUGCCGGUGACAAACCGGAGGAAGGUGGGGACGACGUCAGAUCAUCAUGCCCCUUAUGACCUGGGCUACACACGUGCUACAAUGGACGGUACAACGAGUCGCGAACUCGCGAGGGCAAGCAAAUC